rnacentral:rRNA from 1 species
AUUGAACGCUGGCGGCAGGCCUAACACAUGCAAGUCGAACGAGCGGCAGACGGGUGAGUAAUGUCUGGGAAUCUGCCUGAUGGAGGGGGAUAACUACUGGAAACUGUCGCUAAUACCGCAUACCAUCAGAUGUGCCCAGAUGGGAUUAGCUAGUGGGUGGGGUAACGGCUCACCAAGGCGACGAUCCCUAGCUGGUCUGAGAGGAGGACCAGGCACACUGGAACUGAGACACGGUCCAGACGCCUACGGGAGGCAGCAGUGGGGAAUAUUGCACAAUGGGCGCAAGCCUGAUGCAGCCAUGCCGCGUGUAUGAAGAAGGCCUUCGGGUUGUAAAGUACUUGCAGCGGGGAGGCGUUACCCGCAGAAGAAGCACCGGCUAACGCCGUGCCAGCAGCCGCGGUAAUUC